rnacentral:rRNA from 1 species
AACGAACGCUGGCGGCAGGCCUAACACAUGCAAGUCGAACGCCCCGCAAGGGGAGUGGCAGACGGGUGAGUAACACGUGGGAACAUACCCUUUGGUUCGGAAUAACUCAGGGAAACUUGAGCUAAUACCGGAUAAGCGCGAGAGCGGAGAGAUUUAUCGCCGAAGGAUCGGCCCGCGUCCGAUUAGCUAGUUGGUGAGGUAAUGGCUCACCAAGGCGACGAUCGGUAGCUGGUCUGAGAGGAUGAUCAGCCACAUUGGGACUGAGACACGGCCCAAACUCCUACGGGAGGCAGCAGUGGGGAAUAUUGGACAAUGGGCGCAAGCCUGAUCCAGCCAUGCCGCGUGAGUGAUGAAGGCCCUAGGGUUGUAAAGCUCUUUCGCCAGGGACGAUAAUGA